AUGUCAAUGAUGAACUAACACACGAAAAUUGAGCAUUUUUCUACAGGAUAAUAUAUAUUUCAAAGUGUUCUGGGAUCAAGGGCCCUAAGAAAGGCAUAAUUCAAUUGCCAUUGUAUCUAAAGACAUCCAAUGAAAAUGUGUGGAAGACUCAACUAACAAGCUUUGCCCUUCACUCUUUCUAACUUUCAUCCAAAUAUAGUCAGGGCUCGCGCUGCCCAUCGCAUUUGUCGCAUUUUGCGAUUUUUCAGAAAAAAAUGCGACAGAAAUUCCGGAAAUGCGACACGGACAUUUCGUAUUUUAGUAUUCGCGCGCCAUUUUGAAUUUCAGCUGUUGGCAUCCAAACAGCCUCAGGGCUGUUUUACCUGUGCAGAAUGUGGAUACCCUGUCGCAUGGGAACAAUAAGACUUAGGGUCGUCUUGUUUAUUUAGCAGUUUACACAAAACAAAGGGUUGAUCCUCUAUGUGCAGACUUCAUGAAGUCCCUUCUCCUCUACAUGAUGAGAUUCACCAAAGGACCACUUUGUCAUUCUGGAUUUCAAGAUGAAAACAGGAUUAUUCAGUGAAAAUGUGAUGUGAAACUAUGAUCAUGUGUUAUGUAUUACAGUAAUCAAUUUUCAGUAACUGUCAUCAGUGACUUUUUCUAGACUGCAAAUUUAAUGAGUAAUAUAUGUUAUUUACACUACUAAAAUGAUUAAUAAACAUUUAGAAACUCA